rnacentral:rRNA from 1 species
UACGUAGGGCGCAAGCGUUGUCCGGAAUUAUUGGGCGUAAAGAGUGCGUAGGCGGUCCUGUAAGUUUGGUGUGAAAUCUCCCGGCUCAACUGGGAGGGUGCGCCGAAGACUGCAGGGCUUGAGUAUGGGAGAGGUAAGCGGAAUUCCUGGUGUAGCGGUGAAAUGCGUAGAUAUCAGGAGGAACACCUGUGGUGUAGACAGCUUACUGGACCAUAACUGACGCUGAGGCACGAAAGCGUGGGUAGCAAACAGG